AUUGAACGCUGGCGGCAUGCCUUACACAUGCAAGUCGAGCGGCAGCGCGGGGGCAACCCUGGCGGCGAGCGGCGGACGGGUGAGUAAUACAUCGGAACGUGUCCUUUCGUGGGGGAUAACCAGUCGAAAGACUGGCUAAUACCGCAUGAGAUCUCACGAUGAAAGCGGGGGACCGCAAGGCCUCGCGCGAUUGGAGCGGCCGAUGUCGGAUUAGCUAGUUGGCGGGGUAAAAGCCCACCAAGGCGACGAUCCGUAGCUGGUUUGAGAGAACGACCAGCCACACUGGGACUGAGACACGGCCCAGACUCCUACGGGAGGCAGCAGUGGGGAAUUUUGGACAAUGGGCGCAAGCCUGAUCCAGCCAUGCCGCGUGUGUGAAGAAGGCCUUCGGGUUGUAAAGCACUUUCGGCCGGAACGAAAUCGCGCGGGCUAUUACCCCGCGUGGAUGACGGUACCGGAAGAAGAAGCACCGGCUAACUACGUGC
rnacentral:rRNA from 1 species